GGUUCGAUCAUGGCUCAGAUUGAACGCUGGCGGGAUGCUUUUAUGCAAGUCGAACGGCAGCACGGACUUCGGUCUGGUGGCAGGUGAACGGGUGAGUAAUGUAUCGGAACGUGCCUAGUAGCGGGGAUAACUACGCGAAAGCGUAGCUAAUACCGCAUACGCCCUUCGGGGAAAGCGGGGACCUUCAGGCCUCGCACUAUUAGAGCAGCCGAUAUCGGAUUAGCUAGUUGGUGCGGGUAACGGCUCACCAAGGCGACGAUCCGUAGCUGAGACUUUGAGAGGACGACCAGCCACACUGGGACCACGAGACCCAGACUCCUACGAGGCAGCAGUAGGAAUUUUUGGACAAUGGGGAAACCCUGGUCAGCCAUCCCGCGUGUGCGAUGAAGGCCUUCGGGUUAUAAAGCACUUUGGCAGGAAAACGGCCUGGGAUAAUACCCCAUGCAACUGACAGUACCUGCAGACCAGCACCGGCUAACUACGUGCCAGCAGCCGCGGUAACCCAUGGGGUACACCGGCGUUAAUCCAGAUUACUAUUUGGGCGUAAAGCGUGCGCAGGGAGCGGUUCGGAAAGAAAGAUGUGAAAUCCCAGAGCUUAACUUUGGAACUGCAUUUUAACUACCGAGCCAUUGUCAGAGGAGGUGGAAUUCCGCGUCAUAGCAGUGAGUAAAAAAUAGAUAUGCGGAGGGCACCGAUGGCGAAGGAGCGGCCUCCCCCUGGGAUAACACUGACGCUCAUGCACGAAAGCGUGGGGAGCAAACGGGAUUAGAUACCCUGGUAGUCCACGCCCUGUAACGAUGUCAGCACAGCUGUUGGGGCCUUCGGGCCUUGGUAGCGCAGCUAACGCCUUGAAGAUUGACCACUUACAAGGAGAUGCAGUCGCAAGAUUAAAACUCAAAGGAAUUGACGGGGACCACACAACAAUUGGAUGAUGUGGAUUAAUUCGAUGCAGCGCGAAAAACCUUACCUACCCUUGACAUGUCUGGAAUCGAAGAGAUUUGGGAGUGCUCGCAAGAGAACCGGAACACAGGUGCUGCAUGGCUGUCGUCAGCUCGUCGUGAGAUGUUGGGUUAAGUCCACAACGAGCGCAACCACUUGUCAUUAGUUGCUACGAAGGGCACUCUAAUGAGACUGCCAUUGACCGGAGGAAGGUGGGGAUGACUCAAGUCCUCAUGGCCCUUAUGGGUGAGACUUCACACGUCACUGAGUCGGGACAGAGGGUCGCCAACCCGCGAGGGGGAGCCAAUCCCAGAAACCCGAUCGUAGUCCGGAUCGCGAUCUGCAGCUCGACUGCGUGAAGUCGGAAUCGCUAGUAAUCGCGGAUCAGCAUGUCGCGGUGAAUACAUUCUCCCAGGUCUUGUACACACCGCCCGUCACACUUGGGAGUGGGUUUUACCAGAAGUAGUUAGCCUAACCGUAAGGAGGGCAGUUACCACGGUAGGAUUCAUGACUGGGGGUGAAGUCGUAACAAGGUAA
rnacentral:rRNA from 1 species